CAGCCGCCGCGGGAAUACGUAGGGUGCGAGCGUUAAUCGGAAUUACUGGGCGUAAAGCGUGCGCAGGCGGUUGUGUAAGACAGGUGUGAAAUCCCCGGGCUUAACCUGGGAACUGCGCUUGUGACUGCACAGCUAGAGUAUGGCAGAGGGGGGUGGAAUUCCACGUGUAGCAGUGAAAUGCGUAGAGAUGUGGAGGAACACCGAUGGCGAAGGCAGCCCCCUGGGCCAAUACUGACGCUCAUGCACGAAAGCGUGGGGAGCAAACAGGAUUAGAUACCCCGGUAGUCCCUGUCUCUUGUAA
rnacentral:rRNA from 1 species